rnacentral:rRNA from 1 species
AGGAUAAACGCUGGCGGCGUGCCUAAUGCAUGCAAGUCGAACGGGAGCGCCUUCGGGCGUCGACCGUGGCGGACGGGUGAGGAACACGUGGCUAACCUGCCCAGAUGUGGGGGAUACCCGCCGGAAACGGCGACUAAUACCGCAUGAGCUUGGUUGGGGGGACCUGACCAAGGAAAGGUCGCAAGACCGCGUUUGGAGGGGCGUGCGGCCGAAUUAGCUCGCUGGUGGGUAACGGCCUACCAGGGCGGUGAUCGGUAGCUGGUCUGAGAGGACGGCCAGCCACACGGGGACUGAGACACGGCCCCGAUCCUACGGGAGCAGCAGCAAGGAUUUC